rnacentral:rRNA from 1 species
GACGAACGCUGGCGGCGUGCUUAACACAUGCGAGUCGAACGGUGAAGCUCCAGCUUGCUGGAGUGGAUCAGUGGCGAACGGGUGAGUAACACGUGAGCAACCUGCCCCUGACUCUGGAAUAAGCGCUGGAAACGGCGUCUAAUACUGGAUACGAGAAGGGUCCGCAUGGGCACUUUCUGGAAAGUUUUUCGGUUGGGGAUGGGCUCGCGGCCUAUCAGCUUGUUGGUGAGGUAAUGGCUCACCAAGGCGACGACGGGUAGCCGGCCUGAGAGGGCGACCGGCCACACUGGGACUGAGACACGGCCCAGACUCCUACGGGAGGCAGCAGUGGGGAAUAUUGCACAAUGGGCGAGAGCCUGAUGCAGCGACGCCGCGUGAGGGAUGACGGCCUUCGGGUUGUAAACCUCUUUCAGCAGGGAAGAAGCGAAAGUGACGGUACCUGCAGAAGAAGCACCGGCUAACUACGUG